rnacentral:misc_RNA from 1 species
UCUCCAGAAUCUAGAUUUGUCUUUAAACAACUUCAGCACAAGUUUGCCAGCUAGAUUUGCCAACCUCACUGGUUUAAUUUCUCUGAAUUUGUCCAACGCUGGAUUUAUGGGUCAAAUUCCAACUGAAAUUUCAAACUUGGCGUCAUUGGUGACCCUUGAUCUGUCUAAGCUCUACGUCCUUGGAGUCCCAUCACUAAAACUUGAGAAACCAAAUUUGGCAACACUGGUUCAAAAUCUUACACAGCUGAGAGAACUUCGUCUUGACGGUGUAAAUAUAUCUGCAAAUGGGAAUGAGUGGUGUCAGGCCUUAUCGUCUUCUCUGCCUAAUCUGCAAGUGUUGAGCUUGUCCAACUGUUCUCUUUCGGGCCCUAUUGAUCCUUCCCUUGCAAAGCUUCAGUCUCUCUCAGUAAUUAGUAUGGGCCGUAACAAUUUAUCUGCCCCAGUUCCAGAGUUCUUCGCAAAUUUCUCCAAUUU